rnacentral:rRNA from 1 species
UACGGGGGGUGCGAGCGUUGUCCGGAAUCACUGGGCUUAAAGGGCGCGUAGGCGGGCUGUCAAGUCUGGGGUGAAAUCCCGCGGCUCAACCGUGGAACUGCCUUAGAUACUGACGGCCUCGAGGAAGGUAGGGGCAUGCGGAACUGUAGGUGGAGCGGUGAAAUGCGUAGAUAUCACUUGGAACGCCGAAGGUGAAAACAGCUCGCUGGGGUUGUGCUGACGCUGAGACACGAAAGCCAGGGGAGCGAACGGG